rnacentral:lncRNA from 1 species
GGAUAGUUAUGAGGGCAGCAGCUGUAGUGAUCAUCGCAGCAGGUAGCACCCUCAAGUGGGCAACAGCCCCAGGCGAAGCACUCCUUGCCGUACUCGUAGAUGCAGCAGCAGGUCGUGCUCGCAGGGCACUCGUUGUAGCUGUCACAGACGGAAGACGGUGGGGCGGGAGACGGUGGAGUUGGGCCGGGGUUAGGGGGGUUCUCGCCCGUCUUCGUCGGGUAGGAAGGCUCGACAGCAAUACCACAUUUGCCACUGGAUGCCUUGAUGUUACGCUCCAUCCGGAUGUAACCAUCCUCUCCCCAGACGCUACCCCAGGAGUUCCUGACGAGCCAGUAGUCCUUGCCAUUCUCUGUACC